AUCAUUGUCUAUAAGCUAUGAACAAGCCCGAUCCUGUCUGAUGUCGGAAGCUAAGCAGGAUCAGGCCUGGUUAGUACUUGGAUGGGAGACCAGGAUGGGAGACCAUCUAGGAAGACCAGGUGCUGUAGGUG
rnacentral:rRNA from 1 species